CAGCAGCCGCGGUAAUACGUAGGGUGCAAGCGUUAAUCGGAAUUACUGGGCGUAAAGCGUGCGCAGGCGGUUUUGUAAGACAGAGGUGAAAUCCCCGGGCUCAACCUGGGAACUGCCUUUGUGACUGCAAGGCUAGAGUACGGCAGAGGGGGAUGGAAUUCCGCGUGUAGCAGUGAAAUGCGUAGAUAUGCGGAGGAACACCGAUGGCGAAGGCAAUCCCCUGGGCCUGUACUGACGCUCAUGCACGAAAGCGUGGGGAGCAAACAGGAUUAGAUACCCGGGUAGUCCCUGUCUCUUAUAC
rnacentral:rRNA from 1 species